UGGAAUCUGAGGUGUUGUAUACGUAAUG
rnacentral:piRNA from 1 species